rnacentral:rRNA from 1 species
UACGGAGGGUGCGAGCGUUGUCCGGAACCACUGGGCGUAAAGGGCGCGUAGGUGGCUACUCAAGCGCGCGGUGAAAGCCCGGGGCUCAACCCCGGGUCGGCCGUGCGGACUGGGAGGCUCGAGCACUGUAGGGGCGGGUGGAAUUCCGGGUGUAGCGGUGGAAUGCGUAGAGAUCCGGAAGAACACCGGUGGCGAAGGCGGCCUGCUGGGCAGUAGCUGACGCUGAUGCGCGACAGCGUGGGGAGCAAGCAGG